rnacentral:rRNA from 1 species
AACGCGAAGAACCUUACCAGCCCUUGACUUGGGGAGUGUGGGUCGCAGAGACGUGACCCUUCAGUUCGGCUGGCUCCCACACAGGUGCUGCAUGGCUGUCGUCAGCUCAUGUCGUGAGAUGUUGGGUUAAGUCCCGCAACGAGCGCAACCCUCAUCUUCAGUUGCCAUCAUUAAGUUGGGCACUCUGAAGAAACUGCCGGUGACAAGCCGGAGGAAGGCGGGGAUGACGUCAAGUCCUCAUGGCCCUUACGGGCUGGGCUACACACGUGCUACAAUGGCGGUGACAGUGGGAUGCAAGGGGGCGACCCCGCGCCAAUCUCAAAAAGCCGUCUCAGUUCGGAUUGUACUCUGCAACUCGAGUGCAUGAAGUCGGAAUCGCUAGUAAUCGUGGAUCAGCACGCCACGGUGAAUACGUUCCCGGGUCUUGUACACACCG